UACGAAGGGGGCUAGCGUUGCUCGGAAUCACUGGGCGUAAAGGGCGCGUAGGCGGCGUUUUAAGUCGGGGGUGAAAGCCUGUGGCUCAACCACAGAAUUGCCUUCGAUACUGGGACGCUUGAGUGUGGUAGAGGUUGGUGGAACUGCGAGUGUAGAGGUGAAAUUCGUAGAUAUUCGCAAGAACACCGGUGGCGAAGGCGGCCAACUGGACCAUCACUGACGCUGAGGCGCGAAGGCGUGGGGAGCAAACAGG
rnacentral:rRNA from 1 species